CCUACGGGAGGCAGCAGUGAGGAAUAUUGGACAAUGGGCGCAAGCCUGAUCCAGCCAUGCCGCGUGCAGGAUGACGGUCCUAUGGAUUGUAAACUGCUUUUGUACAGGAAGAAACACUGGUUCGUGAACCAGCUUGACGGUACUGUAAGAAUAAGGAUCGGCUAACUCCGUGCCAGCAGCCGCGGUAAUACGGAGGAUCCAAGCGUUAUCCGGAAUCAUUGGGUUUAAAGGGUCCGUAGGCGGUUUGGUAAGUCAGUGGUGAAAGCCCAUCGCUCAACGGUGGAACGGCCAUUGAUACUGCCAGACUUGAAUUAUUAGGAAGUAACUAGAAUAUGUAGUGUAGCGGUGAAAUGCUUAGAGAUUACAUGGAAUACCGAUUGCGAAGGCAGGUUACUACUAAUUGAUUGACGCUGAUGGACGAAAGCGUGGGUAGCGAACAGGAUUAGAUACCCUGGUAGUCCACGCCGUAAACGAUGGAUACUAGCUGUUGGGAGCAAUCUCAGUGGCUAAGCGAAAGUGAUAAGUAUCCCACCUGGGGAGUACGUUCGCAAGAUGAAACUCAAAGGAAUUGACGG
rnacentral:rRNA from 1 species